UUUGAUCUCGUAAACCUCUCUUUUGUCAUCAGCACCUGCUCCUCACUUUCUCCACAAGUGAAAGGAGAUGUACCACACAUCUCAAGGCUCGUUCGAUCUUCGAACACCAAAAAGAACCCUCUUUUUCUACACCAAUAAUUUGAUUCUUGCUGCCUCUGAUACCUACCCUAGGAAUAACGCUAAUCGCUUGCAUGGUCAUCCACAGGGAACCUCUGAAACCCACAAGGAUGGUGUCCAUCGGAGGAGGAGGAGGAGAAAAAAUAAUAAUAAUAAUAAAAUGGAAAAAAAAUGAAAGAGCCAGUCCAUUAAGGUUGAAUAAUGCUUGACCCACUAAUUGCAGAUGAGACCUUCUUUUUCUACCUACAACUCCAAUAUGUUGAAUUUAACGAGGCAGAUUAGUUGGAAAUGCUGGAAUUGCUCCAAGGUUGGUGACAUGCUGCCAAAAGGAGUCAAGUGCUUAAGUUUUCUGAAUGAGGCAACAUAGUGGAAUCUCAACAACUUGAUGGGUCCUUUUGUUCUUCUCCUGCAGCAGCAGCAGCAAAGUCUGCCAUGGUAGCUGAGAGAGUUUUGGGGGAGGCAUGACAGCAAAGCAAGGAAGAGCUUUCCUUUACUCUUUUGGUACCCCAGUCUCUCUGCUUUUUCCCACCUCAGACUUGUCUUUGUUGAAUUUUGCAGGAUUGGGUUGGAAGUACAUAUACACACUAACACACACACAUACACACAUAUUUAUAUAUCAAGUUUUCUUCCUUUUUUAGAUUUUUCUCGCCUCUCUUUUUUCAUGCUGCACAUGAAUUGGGGUUCCUUGGAAGAAACCCACUUUUGCCUAGAAGCUCCUGCUGAUGCUCAGGCUUUAACAUUUACUAUUGCACUUCCCCCAGGGCACAAGCUCAUGGGCAAAGCACUGGUAGCCAGUUUCUUGAAUUGGGCACUUUCAGAGUAAAAAAACAAUGCCUGACCAGUUAGAUAUUCAUUCAUGUAAACAAUUGUUUAUACACACACACAUGUACAUAUAUGCCAACAUGGCUCAUAGCUUUAGUAUGUGACUUUGUCUUUGAAGGGGGCAAAGUUGUAAUUUGAUAGCACAACAGUGGGUACUGUCCAUCCCAAGGGAAUUUUUUUUGUGAUCAGUGGCUCGGAUGUUGAGAGAGGCUGGACAUGUGACAAGUUCUCAAACAAUUCCCAGAUUCAUGCUCAUGUCAUGUGACAAGAGGGGGGCAGGCAGGCAACAAAAAAUAAAAAGAACUAAUAAGAACAAAGAAAAUCAACAACCCCAGCCAACUGAAGAAAACAUUAAACAAAAAACAAAAAAAACGCACCCGUAUUUUCAAAAGUCAAGUUCGUUAAGUUUGUUUUUCAGGUAUGAGAAUCAUCCAUUUGAUUUGUGGUGGCGGUGGGUCCCUACAUAUAACAGAAAACACACACACACAUAAUCGGGCUCCCAUGUUCUUUAACUACAUUAAUCUUUGCCCAAUGGCCACAUGCUUUGGAAUUCCUUUGAAAAGUUUCAAAGAAAUUGUACGAGAAGUUGGGAGACAAAUAUAUUGUCAAAGCCUUUUCCUUC
rnacentral:lncRNA from 1 species